AUUUUGGGGUCGGCAAAAGCGGUUUGUUAUUGCCCAUGGAAGGCUUAAGAGACCCCUUCUCGUGCAAUUGGGCCAAGCCGAUGGCAAUCUCCAACUUGGUGGGCUUAUGAAUCAACACUGUUGUUUUAAUACGUGGUGUGAUUGGUGAUGGCCUCAAAACGGGAUCUGUAUUCACUCACAGUAGAGAGCUGCUGAAGCUUUGCGAGCUGGCCCUCCGGAGACUCCAGAUCUUUCAAUCGGAAGCGUUUGAUGAGCGCCUCAAUGAAAUGCGUUCACCCAGUUAGCUGUUUAUUUCGAUACCUCCAAUCGUACCACUCGGCGGUGGUGUCAUCAAGAUUAAAAGAAGUAAUGGUGAGUCGGUCGUGCUCCUUAAUAUUGUAAAAAGCAAAAUAUCAAUCAGCCUGCAAAACCCAUCGAUCAGGAUUUGAACUAGAAUAUAUUUCUCAGGGAAGUUGUUCAACAAGCAUCUGCUAUCUUAUAUUCCUUAGCCCCUGCUGACCUGAACCCCAUGACAAAAUCAGUAUAGUUCUUAGGAAUUCUCCCCUGACGUGUAUUUCUUCCCAGCUUCUUCUUCCUGACCAUUCACAACAAAACCCUAUGUUAUGUAUUUAUGAUUCGGUGACCC
rnacentral:lncRNA from 1 species